AGCAAAGAGAUGUUAUCAGAUACGGAACUAUCGCGAUCGCAAAACGAGCUAUUUUAAAAGUCUUUAAGCUAGCGUUAUGUGUUAACGCGCUGUGGACGCGUUAAAGCUCCGCGUUUGUUUACAAGCACAGCUCUGACCCCAGCAGGCCCGCGUUGGCCCUAGGUUCUCGUCAGCACGAGGCACGAUCAGGCCCUGCAAGUUACGGUGGAAACGCGACUGGCCCUGGCACGCGCUAGUCCGCGCGCUUUGCGUUCUGGGAGACCGUGUCCCACGCAGUGUCUUCAGAUGUAUACUUCAAAUUUAAACCAACAUAGCAGCUGAGAUUGAUCUCGUGAGAUCAAGCUGCUGUCGUCAGGAUCUCGGGGGCAAUUGCUGUGAGUAGCAGAAAUGCCAUCUACAGGACAUCGUUCAACACCUCAUCCUCACACUAAGAGUGGUGAUGUGCAUUAUUUUUCUGCUUUCAACACUGUGAGUGAUCAGAACUGAACUGUCAAAUCAUACAACUGUUGAUUUUGGAACUGCCUCUGGACUACAGCGAGGAAGAGAAACACUUGUCUACGAGAGCUUCCGUCUGUCACAGAUUCUUCAAAACUCAUUAGCGUAAGAGUCCUCAAUUCAGUGCACAUGUGCGUCGCCCUCAGCGUGAACCUGUUUUUGUGUGGUAUGUCCUCCAGCCUGUGAUUAAUUGGCGGUUCAUUAUUGAGACUGUUUAUUUGGUCCUGGGGACACGGGGGACCGAGGAUUCAGUGACUCGGUACGGUUGCAACAAGGUGAUUAAGCAGAUGUUAUUGGAGGAUUAUGAUGUUCUCCAGUGUCAUUUCUGGAUAACAAUACUCAAUGCAAAUUGAAACGCGUAUUAUAGGCUAAUAUAAAUAUAUAAAUGUCCUGAGGAAAAAUAGGGACCUGAUGAAACAUUUAUAAAAAUAAUAUAGUAAUUUAGACUAAGAGAUAAUAACCAAUAUUUUAC